GCCUCUGAGAGCUGAGAAUGGCUCCCGGCUGACAGGCCCCAAGGAAAUGGGGGACCUCAGUCCUCCGAUCACAAAAAAAGACCCUGAGUUCUGCCAACAACCUGAAUGAAAAUUAGGAAGACGGUCUGAGCCCCAGCCUGUGAGGCCCUCUGCCGAGAAGCCAGAUUUAAGACCCACACAGCUGUGAGCUGACAGGCUCCAAGAGGCUGAUUCCUGGUUUGGGGACACUUUGUCUGUGAUGAAGGUGUCUUGCAGCCACUGAGCAGAAAUGCCCGGGGAUAACCUCAUACUCUAGAGAGACGGGGCUUGCCAUCGCGUGAUCCAAAUGCAGACACCGGAUCCCGCUUCUUCCGUCUUGCUCUCGCGUUCCCGAUGGAGAGAAGCUUCACCCGAAGGAUCAUCUGUGCCUGUAAUAAAGGUGAUGUCCUAUGAGGACUGCACUCAGAGCAAGAUGGCCGUCAGAGCUCCAGCCACGGCGUCUCCAUUCCAGACAGCACAAUGGAGAAGGAGAGCCUCCCCAUCCAACACCUUCCUCUUCCAUCCCAUCAGCUUGAACCCAGUCACAUAAGCUCACCUAGUCGCUGCUUACCUCCUGUCCCAAGCUGGCCUGCUGCUGGAGAAAGUAACACAAUCAUGCUGACACACACCUCUGUAGGCUGUGGCUUCUAGCCCAGCUGAGCCCCCCACACUCCUGGACAAGGCCUUUUGUCCUCUCUUUUGCAUGCCUCAUGGCAGUUAUUCCAAGAAUUCAGUCACUUUCCUGCAACACUCCUCCCACCCUUGGCUCCCUUCCUCCUUCCCUCUCCCCUGUUUAGACAUCCCUGUCGUUCCUCCGAAGCAGCUCUAGCUGCAACCAGAGGUGACCGUUGCCCUGGCCCGAGCAGACCUUCUCUUUCCCCUGAAUCCUACCGUCAACAGGAAUGAACCGAUGAGAGGCCCUAACAGCUACCCGUUUCAUCUAGAAACUGUGUCUUUAACCACAGCAUCCAUGCUUCACUCCAAAGGAGACUCCCAGGGGAGGUCAGAGGCCCCAAGCAGGCCGCCUCGGGAUGCUGCAGGGGCAGUGGUCCCCCCGGCAGCUGACGGGCCUCAGAACAGAGAGCGAUUCCCCCCGAAGAAGGCUCGGCAUCCUUUGGCUCCCUCAGCCCCCCCUGACACUUGUGCCAGUCCCUGUCCUGACUUCACAGUGGCCCGAGGGCACCAGGCGCACCACCCACCUCUGCAAAGAGGCAAAAUGACAUGGGAGAGAAUGUCAGUAUUUCCCCACAUUGAGGGGACCGUGUCCAUAUUCUUCUGGAAACGUCCCCUUCGAGUUCCUGGCUGCUUAUCAGGAGCAGGCUGAGUGCACACGCCCCCGGGUUUAGGGGCUGACGGAGGUAGCCCCACCCUUCAAUAGAUGCAGGGCGGGCCACCAACCCCUCCUGCACAAAACCUUGGUUCCCGCCCUGCCGGGAGGGCGUGAAAUGGGGGUGCUGCUCUGGGGGCUCACGCGGGUUCUCGCGGCCCCAGCCACAUCCACCGUCCUCCACCGCUCCCAUCGGGGCUGAUGAGGGCUGGGGCCAGGAAACUGCUCGGGGGCUAAGGGUUCCUACUCGGUGUGAGAAGUCUGCCUUACAGGUUGCUAUAAAAAGGAGCAAAAAUAACAGAGGUGCCUCUUCGUCUGUCUUCAUGUUCCCCGUUUCACUUAUCACACACAUCUUGCAAUAGCUACUCAUUUUCACAUUUUCUUCAGUCACUUCCUCCCUCCAACGUGAAUUACCUAAAAUAACAACCUCUCAGGGUCAGCCUCAGCCAUGCAUCACAGGCAGCUGUUCCAGGGUAAGGACUGUGCCCAGAAGAAG